rnacentral:tRNA from 1 species
CCCUCGAUGGUCUAGUUGGUUAUGGCGUUCGGCUGUAAUGGAAAUUGUAACCGAAAAGUCACCAGUUCGAUUCUGGUUCGAGGGA